rnacentral:rRNA from 1 species
CCUACGGGUGGCAGCAGUGGGGAAUAUUGGACAAUGGGGGAAACCCUUAUCCAGCGACGCCGCGUGUGGGAAGAAGGUUUUCGGAUUGUAAACCUCUGUCAGUGGGGACGAUAAUGACGGUACCCACGGAGGAAUCCACGGCUAACUACGUCACAGCAGCCGCGGUAAUACGUAGGGGGCAAGCGUUGUCCGGAAUUACUGGGUGUAAAGUGAGCGUAGGCGGUAUGUCAAGUCGGAAGUGAAAAUUAUGGGCUCAACUCGUAACCUGCUUUUGAAAAUGACAGUCUUGAGUGAAGUAGAGGGAAGCAGAAUUCCUAGUGUAGCGGUGAAAUGCGUAGAUAUCAGGAGGAACACCAGUGGCGAAGGCGGCUUGCUGGGC